AACUAACACAAUAUGCACCCCAAGUUAAUUAAUUCAAUUAUUCAUUAUAUCUCAUAUCAACUAAAUAAUUAAUUAACACACCAAAUUAAUUAAUAUAAUCGAUUAUUAUACUACCUAACAACCAAUUAAUUAAUUAACACUCUAAAAAAUUCAAUUAUUCAUUAUAUCUCAUAUCAACUAAAUAAUUAAUUAACACACCAAAUUAAUUAAUAUAAUCGAUUAUUAUACUACCUAACAACCAAUUAAUUAAUUAACACUCUAAAUAAAU
rnacentral:lncRNA from 1 species